GCACAACCGGUGGAACAUGUGGUUCAAUUCGAUGAUACGCGAGGAACCUUACCUGGGCUUAAAUGUAGUUUGACUUCCGCCGAAAGGCGGUUUUCCUUCGGGACAAAUUACAAGGUGCUGCACGGCUGUCGUCAGCUCGUGCCGUGAGGUAUCGGGUUAAGUCCCUUAACGAGCGCAACCCCUAUUGUUAGUUACCAACAGGUUAAGCUGGGGACUCUAGCAAAACUGCCAGCGUAAGCUGGAGGAAGGUGGGGAUGACGUCAAGUCAGCAUGGCCCUUAUGUCCAGGGCUACACACGUGUUACAAUGGCCGAUACAAAGGGCAGCCACCACGCGAGUGGGAGCUAAUCCUUAAAAUCGGUCUCAGUUCGGAUCGAAGUCUGCAAUUCGACUUCGUGAAGGUGGAAUCGGUAGUAAUCGCGCAUCAGCAAUGGCGCGGUGAUACGUUCCCGGGCCUUGUACACACUGCCCGUCAAGCCAUGGAAUUGUGUUGCCUGAGUCCGUAACCAUCCAGGAGCGGC
rnacentral:rRNA from 1 species